UAUACGUUUCAUUAUAUUAUGAGUAAUAAUACAUUACAUUCACUUGAAUAUGACAGACUUUAAUCCCAAGAGUUGCACAGAAAAACCCUCUCACACUCGCCUUGUUGUGGCGCGAACGUGUAAAAGUAUUGCUGAAAUCAUAAGCAAGUACAAGAAAAGACUAUUUUCUGAGACGCGCCAAGUACUCGAAAGAUCGAAAUGCCGUGACUGUGGCCAUUUGAUUGGACGUUGCAACUUUGACUUAUUGAAGAGCGGCCAACGAUUCAAUUUCAUCUCAAGCAAAAAAAUCUAUGCCGGCUUAUUUUGUAUAUUCUUUGUCCUACUUUUGGGGUUGGCAUUGAUACUGAUACGUCGAUACAACCACACAUUUAUUUAUGGAUCUGGCGGCUGCAAGUCGGGAAUUUUUUGGACCUACAAUGAUUGCAUUGUAAUGGCCUAGCCAAACAGCAAAAAUUCUUGCCUAAAGCUACGAAUGGUAAGUCAUGGAUAUAUAUAAUAUGGUGUUUUAUUUAGCUCGGCUCAGACGUUCUGCUGCUGAUGCAACAACUGCCAUUGACUCUGCCAAAACAAAAAGCUCUACUAUUUGAAAUACAGUUUUUGCAAAUUUGUACAGUUUUAUAUCUAGAGAGUAAAAGAAUUUGUUAUGU
rnacentral:sRNA from 1 species